CUAGAAGAAAUAAGUGGAAAUUAGGAGAAACAUUAAAGACAUUCCAGUCACUGAGCAUGCUGAAACCUGAAAACAUGGUUGGCCCUUGAUCUGGAUUUCCACCAUCACAUAUCUCUUCAUUCCUGAUGUGUAUCUGGCUUACACAAAAAACACGAGAGAACAAAAGAUUUAAGAGAGAAGAUGAAGUUUCAGAAGUUGAUGUGAGAGUGACUACAGUUUGAAGUAUCUGUUAAAUACAGCAACAUGACAUCACAAGGAUUGCUUUGGAGUCUUCUGGAUAUGAGAACAUUAUAAAAGGUGAAAAAGUAGAACGGAAAUAUGAAGGGAGAAAUAGAGACAACCAUAGUUUCAAGCCUCACUUAGAGAAGAAGGAUUGUUCAUUUGUUUGAUGGUAAUUGGGUCAAUUGAGGAGUUUGACACAGAGAAUAACAGUACCAGACCUGAGUCCAGUCUUAGCUU